AUGGGGGCGGUCCUCGCCCUCUUCCUCAUUACCGUCUUCACCAUCAUCAUCCUCACCGCACGGAAGACCUCGCCCCCAGCGUACACAGACAAAGUGAUUGAUCUACCUCCAACACACAAGCCGCCUCCUCCAUACACAGAGAGACCCCCAGCCAUCCCUCUGGCUGUCCAUGCACCACAGGUGGCCUCCCUGUCACAGGCUCGCAGGGCUGAUCGCCGGUUUGAGAUGGCAGAGAGAACACCCACCAGGCUCGCGCACCAGGAACCCCGAAGCCCCUCCCAUCAGCCACUGUCUUAUCAGGAAUGGGUGUGUCACCAGCAUGGGACGGACCGCAUCUUCAUCAACCACCGGGAAAACUAUGUGUGACAGACACACCUUGAGCCCUUCUAUGGACCUGUCACUCACCCCGUCCCCACCCAUGCUCACAGAGGACAUCCUUUACAAUGUGAAGAACACAGGCAAAAAAACAGCUCAUGAUUUGAUCAAGCCUUCACAGAUGUGUCUACUCCACAUUUAAACUCAUUUGAGAGCAGCAGUUAUCAGCUGUAAGAAACAAGACUAAUGAGGCCGAAGCAUAAACUGCUGAGUUUCUUGAAGGAACACAUCCAUACACCCCCUCCACUCCACAACCAUAAACCACUACACACCCUUUCUGUUCCCAACCACAUUAAUAAACAGAGCAUAACAGUAGGGGGAAUGGGAGGAAACCGACUUGGUACAGUACGACAAAAUAGAUAUUUAAAACAACUCACUAAUCUCUGUUGUGUACUAUAUAUAUAUAGGAGUGGAAUAAUAUGAAAACACCAUACUAAUAUUUAACAUGUAUAGGAAUUAAAUAAGUUACUAUGUCACUGUAGCUAUAGGGAUAUUGUAAUUAUGUGAUAAUCCUGUGUUCAGUUAUGCUUUUUGAAUUAGAUUUAAACCUAAUUAAAACAUUUUAUAUAAUCCCACAGCACCCCUAACACUUGUACUUGACUUGUUCCCCCCUAAUAGCACUGACUUUGCUGAUAGCUCCUUUAGUGAGGAAAAAUGUACUGACGAUGACUGAGAUAUGUGGUAGCUAUCUUAAGAUGAAUGCACUAACUGUAAGUCACUUGAUAAGAGCGCCUGCUAAACUACUAAAAUAAAUGUAAUCAUUAUUUAUAUAAUUGUGGUAUUAAAUAUCAGACAUAUCUCAAAAUGGUUCUGGUAAACACGCAGCCAAUUUAGUAGGAUUCUAACUUUCUGGUAUAAGAACAAAGAUGGCAACAUUGUCUGAAGCAGGUUCUGGGUGCCCGUUUCGUCUUCUGCCCUAUCGCUACACAGGUGAUUUAGAUAAUCAACUUGUCAUCAAGCUCGGAUGAUUUGAAUCAGCUGUAUAGUGUAAGGGGAAAAUAACUAAAAGUACACCCAGGGCGGGCCCCAGUACCGAGUUUGGAAAAUCCUGGUCUGAAGGACCAGGCACCAGUGUUACAUCAGGAUCAAGUAUUUCAUUGAGUAGGCUAUAUCAGAUAGUAACAUAUAAUGUAAAUUCGCUGUAUACAAAUGUUCAGAACUAAAAUGUUCAGAAAAUAUAAAUGUGGUGUAGUUCUAGUGUUUUGAGAAGUCAACUGAAUCAUAUAAAAUAUUUACUUCCGUACAUGAAAUUUAAACAUGAAUCGUUCUUUCGUCAGUGAGAAAAUCAUAUUUAGUUUUUUUUCAUUGCAAGUUUGUAGUUUUUGAAAUUUUCUUGUGCCAUGUUAAUAUUUGAAGGGGGAUUUUUUUCCACUAUAUAUAUGAUCCGUUUUUAAAAUUGUAAUUCUUACAUUGUGACUAGUUAAAUAUAUGCAGUGUUUUCUUUUUUUAUAUAUAUUAAACAU
rnacentral:lncRNA from 1 species